rnacentral:rRNA from 1 species
GGAUGUUGGCUUAGAAGCAGCCAUCAUUUAAAGAAAGCGUAAUAGCUCACUGGUCGAGUCGGCCUGCGCGGAAGAUGUAACGGGGCUAAACCAUGCACCGAAGCUGCGGCAGCGACACUAUGUGUUGUUGGGUAGGGGAGCGUUCUGUAAGCCGUCGAAGGUGUGCUGUGAGGCAUGCUGGAGGUAUCAGAAGUGCGAAUGCUGACAUAAGUAACGAUAAAGCGGGUGAAAAGCCCGCU